GCGGUGUUUGGCACCUCGAUGUCGGCUCAUCACAUCCUGGGGCUGAAGUAGGUCCCAAGGGUAUGGCUGUUCGCCAUUUAAAGUGGUACGCGAGCUGGGGUUUAGAACGUCGUGAGACAGUUCGGUCCCUAUCUGCCGUGGGGCGUUGGAAGAUUGAGAGGGGGUUGCUCCUAGUACGAGAGGACCGGAGUGAACGCACCACUGGUGUUCGGG
rnacentral:rRNA from 1 species